UUUAGAAUCCUAUUCAAUUUUUAUUUUGGUUUCGUUAUGACAGCGACUGUUACGAAUUAAAUUCCACUGAAUCGUUUCAUUGUCUCGUUCGUUUUAGAAAGGGUCAAGAAACAAACACAGGUUUAUCAAAACAUGUAUAACGAUUUAUUGAGGAGCUAUUCAAGCAUGUUAAAUUUCAUGAAAUGCAGGUACCUACCUAUCUACUCACUAGCGUUACAUUAGACGUGCAUUUUACUCGCAAAACUGUACGAUCUAUUUCUUUCGAAGGAGAGUUGCGUAGAAUUGCAUUAGUUUCGCCGAUGAUUUAUCCCCGUCUAGCACGAUCGUGUCUACGGAUCCUUAAAUUCUAACUCGACGGGGGUACUCUGUACACGAAGUUCUCAAAAUACGCGAAAUUCUAUCCAUCGACGUGUCCUUUCGUUUAAUUUUUUACGUCGCUUUUCUCGAUAUUUAAUUUCACUCGAGAGAGAGAUUUUAUUUUCUAACAUUUGUUGAAUUUAGACGUGGAAACGGAAUUCUCUCGAAAUAUUUAGAUAGACGACUGCGCGCGAUCGUGCUAGACACUGGAUUAAAUCUACGUUUAUAAUCUGCCUACGUUAGUUUUGAUUGCCAGUCUUCAAUGCUCUGGUUUUGUCCUUAUUAUUCGUCGUUCGCAUCUCUAGUCGCCCUUUGCGCACGCUCUGUUCGUCACCGAAGCCCAAAAAACGCCUCGAAUUUCGAACGGUCGAUUAAACUUUCGGAUCCGAGAGGGUGCAUGUACGAUAAAAAAAGAAUUUAGAGCCCGAGGUGGUUGGAAAUGGCCACUGCAAACACGAGAGAUCGAGAUUCACUUGUUCUACGAUGGUAUUGUUUAUUUUUCUCAUCGUUACUUCAUCCUUGAAUUUAUUUACUACAAGUGCAUCUCGCUUUCUCUAAUUUUCACGAUCACCGUCAACCACUCGUUACUCUAAUUUUUUUUUGUUUUUUUUUUUCUUUUUUGGAUAACAGAGCAACAUUUCUCGUUUCUUUUUUAACGAUACAAAAAGUCCGUUGUCUAAUUAUUACAAACUGGAGUAAUUUUAGUCAUGUGCAACGAGGAAUCGGAGAUGGGCAAAAUUCUUGUGUAAGUAAUAAACUUUUAGAUCGCCAAUGAGAGGCAGAGAGACUUCGAUUUAUUAUUUUGUUCGAUAGAGAUUCCAAUUCGAAUCGUGAGAUGAAUUAAUACUUUUUAAGCUUUACGAAUCCGUUGCCCGAUAUUUGAACAAAAUUUUGCCCAACUCAAUUUUUCCAACCAAGAGAAGUUACUCGAAUGGAAAGCUAAAGUCGAUGAACUAAGAAACGAAAAAGUUUCGUUACAGAUGGGCUCUCGAUUCUUCGUUGCACGCGAUCGUUACUUAAGCUACUAGUCGGAGAAUCUUACAAACUUAAUUUACAUAACCCAUCCUUGUCAUUAUCGCGACGUCCAGGAGCUGAUCUACCAUGAAGCAAACGAAGCAUCGACUUUGGGGCCCUUUUCAGUUACUGAUUUUUUUUUUAUUUAAAGCAUAGAAGAAAUAAUUCUUUCAACAUUUUUCUAAUGCUGUUUAGAACUGAAUUCCACAGAGCAUGAAUUUUAUCUUAUUUUUCAAACAAAACAAUUAUUUCCAAGCUAUUUAUACCUUCGCGAAUUAAUUACAACGGACGUUCUUUCAGGAAAUUUUCGAAUUUGCCUCGAAUAAAAUAUAAUAUUCUCCAGAUUUGAUAUUAGUUAGAAUAGCUUAACGCUCUUUUGGAAGAGAUUUAUUCAUUUUACGAAUCCUGUUGAUGCUAAACGCCCGAUACAUUCGUUAUCCAUUGUUCGAAUAAAAUCCUGCCCUCGUGAUCAACGUCUUCGUCUCCUGAUCAGCCUAAAUCCGCUCCUGGCAUCGCGAUAACGAACCGUGUACGUUGCGUGCAUCUAAACCAGCGAUCGAGGAUAUUUCAUCUGGAAAGUUUAAUCGUCAUGUCUCACUUUUAUUUUGUUUUGUCUAAGUGUACAUGUGCGUGCGUGCGCACGUUGUAUUUUCUUCUUCCCCCCGUGGUUUUCUUGUUUUUGAUUCGGUGUUUCCACGAUUUGAUUAUUUUUCGAAAGGUUAUCGAGGCACGACUUCGCGCCGCUCGAGAUUAGGCUGGAAUCGACUACUACUUCCGUGAAGUUCGACUCUACGACGACAAGUGUGCAUUAUAUCGACGAGUAUCGAUCGAUCGUCGCGGUCUCGAGGCGGUAUCCUUUUUCUAAGAGCGAGGAAUGGCCAGUUUUUCUCGAAAGAAAAUUACGCAAUUGUUUUCGUGAUAUUUUAAAGAAAAAAAAAAAAAACUGGUAGUUAACGUACUUGAUAGAUUUUUCCUAAUGACCCUGUUUUCGACUAGCCACGAAAACAAUUUCAUAGAUUCAAAUUUCGAAUUCAAGACUCCUGACUAAUUUGUCGUUUAUCAUGGUUCGAGUAUUAAUUUUCACUUCGUAUAAAAUUGUAUACAUCUCCUAUGAGAAUGAAUAAAUAUCUAAGCGUAAUUACGGAUUAAAAUACCUCGUGUCUCUUCACCGCAUAAGAAACCGUAACUUAUUUUCGCCUCGAAGAAAACGUAUACCUCCUCGACCACAAAUCCCGCGAAGUGUAUUUUACAUCUAAUACCAGAGAACGCAAGGGCUUAACACCAAUUUCUUCGGUGUUCGACUCGUGUCGCGCGAUUACGAAGCGAUACCUCGAAGUCUCGGGCUACGAUUUCGUUGCAGCCUGGUAAAACCUCGUGGUCGUAUGGUUUCGAAUACAUUUCGCGAUGCGCUUAACAAUAUCUCCGAUAAGUAUCAAAAAACACGGUGACACAAUCUAAGCUUGAGACAGAAUUAAUCUUUUUUUUUUUUUUAAUUUUUCACUGAAACCAUCUUAUACCGUAUAUUUCUUUUUUUUUUUCGUUUUUGUUUUUUUUCCCUUUUCGUUUUUCGUUUACCGAGUAAUUCGCCCCGAUUGGUGUCUCAAAAAAGUGGUCUCCAGCACACCCGGUGCGUAGACACAUCUACGACAUGUGCACGAUAUACAAUCUUUAAAUAUCGACAUGCGAUCGUGAUCCGCGCGUUGAUCGAAAGCGUACAUCGAAGUAGUUCCGUGUUCGAAUCCCUCUUUUCCCCUCGCGAAAAAGGGGGGUGGGUGUAUGUAUGGCUCCUUUGCUUGUACGUUAAAAGUUACGAGCUAGUUUCGAAAAAACGCGAAUUCCUUCUAUCGCAAAUCGAUUUACAAGGACUACGUAGUUGUGAAAGACACGAUUUAAUCUACAUAUCAAAGGCUCGAUUUCGAUGGAAACGGGGCGUUUCUUCGAAUCAUCGAGCGCGUUCGCGAGCUUCGCCACCAAAAACCGGUGCGAUUUCCCGCGGACGUUAUAUACAAUCGCGUAAGUGCGGAGUACCUCAGGGUAUUUCAUCGAAUGUGGUCGCAAUUUGGCCAGAAAUAACGAUUAAUGUUCGUGUACGAAUCUAUCCCCAUGUGACUUUGUUUCUUAUUUAUAAUGUAAUAUAAUAUUAUAUAUAAUAUGUAUAUAUAAUAUGUACAUAUAUUAUGUAUAAUUAUAACCGAACCAGUUUAACCCUUUAUUUACCGUCAAUUUUUUCAUGGUACUGUAUUAAUUAAACGCUUUGAAAUCUAUUGUGACCUUCAAGUCCACUUUUAUAAAGUUUACAAGCUUUUCGUCUUUUGGAAGCUUGUUAGAGACAACUCUAUAAGAUGAUAUAAGACCAUAAGAUGGACGCUAGACUAAAAACUUUUGAGAAAUGCAGUAAAUAAAGGGGAAGGUAACUCUUCGAGUAUCUUGGUGACUCUAAGUAACUUUUUAAUUCACCAGGUUGGACCAUCCUGCUCGAAGAGGUAAGCAGCUGUCAGGGUUUGGUUGGAGCACGCUCAAUUGGCCGUCGAAGGUCACCAAAAGUAUUCCCUCCUCAUUGCUACCACGUCCGCUCCAUUUCCACAUCUCUUCAGGAGACGUCGCAAGGAUUUCGUGUUCCUUUGUUGCUGGCCAACAAAGAACAAGUUGAGGAGGAUGAUGAAGGCUUAGAGUCCGAGGUGUUCGAGCAAGGCCAAUCGGGCUCGUCCGACCGGUCAACCGAGUUCGAACGCGGCUAGCGGGCAACUUCGAGAACCCACCAGGUCUCAGGAUUCUUCUGCGCCCGAUUCCUGUUGUCCGGCGAAAAAAAUACGGAUCCACGCGGCGCGAGCAAAUUCUACAAUGCGCCACGGCCAGAGAUCUGCCUUCGAUGCUCGAGGAGCGCUCUUCCGCUGCUCGAACACCCGGAAACCAGCGCGGGAACACGAGGAUGGAUUGGUCAGGAAGUUGUUUAUCGUAACGGCGAGGCCUCGAGUUCUUUGGAAUUGAAACGUGACGAUAAAGGGUCUCCCAAAAGGCACAUCAGAAUUUUUUGAUUAUUGGAAGCUGUUUACUGGGGGACACUUGAAUUUUCAGGUUUAACUUUAGUUGAGCGUACAUUUAACACGUUGACUGCCAGACAAAUCUGCUAGGAUUAAAUAUUAUUCGUGGUAUUUAUUUUUGUAAUUUCAUAAAAACUCAUGAAUUUCAUUUAAAUUUAUUUCCUUGGAUGCUUGACUAUCAUAAUUAAUUUUUUUAAUUGUUCGGUAAAAAGCACUGUUAUCCAUACACGGGUGACGUGGCGAUCAACGUGUCAAAAUGAAAGAAGUGUAUUAACCCUUUGCACUCGAGAGGUGACUCUCAGUCACCUCUAGGUUUUCGUUAGGUUUAAUUUCUUUGGAACUCAAAAUGCCAAUAAAAUGAUUGUCAUUGAGGCAAAGGUGACCUCAUUUUGAAAUCUCAAAUUAGAGAUAUCAUUAUCGAAGUCAAUAUAAUCUUAGCAUUCGUGCCAAUAGAAUACUAAGAAAGCAUCUCGAGUUGCUGGUAGAUACCAGAAAAAAAGGCCUAGAGUGCAAAGGGUUAACCCUUAGAACAAUUUAAACAAUUUUGACAGCUGACGUUUACUUUUUUAACUUUUGUUCAAAAGAACGUUAUACAAUGGUAACAUACAUACAGCCAAAUAUUAAAAACGAGCUAAUUGCAAGUGUACAAUUCGAUUUAAAGGUUCGGUAUCAAAUUUGAAACUUAGGGCAUUUAAGGGGUUAAAACAAUUGCUGUGCCAACGAUUUGGGAAAUGGAAUCAGUGGAAAUCGACAUGUUUAUUGUAUAACAUUAUCGCUAAAUUACUCAAUCUUUAAUUUAAAGUAUUUUCAUUUAUUUUGUUUUCUAUGAAAUUGUUUCUUUCGGGAAACACCAAUUUGACCGACUACCACACAUGCUCCUCCAAGCGUGAAAAUGUUUCUAUUCGACAAAUGUAAUGUUUAUUUCUUCCCGUAGCAACCUUUCGACCAUUUAUCAUUUCUCUUCGAGGACAAUAAUGGUUAUACUUUCAAGCGCUGUCCUCUGUGUGAAAUCAAUCAACGUUUUCCUCCGAUGAUAUAGUAAUCAAAGGGUACCAGAGGGAGAAGCGUCAAAGUUCGGAAUCGCGGGAAACGCGAGUAAUCGAAGCAAAAUGGCCGUCGUUCACGGCGUACGUGUGCAAUCUCUUUUUAAAUAAUGCGAGAUCGAGGCAUGAAUCAAGUACAACGGUGGAGGUGAGGCGAAGGAAGAGGCAGGGACGAGAAACAAAGGACUCUCCUCGGCCCAAAAACUGCUCGAGCGAUCGAUACAUGGUCAUACAUUGAUACUCGAUACAUUGCCGGAGAAGCUGACGGAGAGGAAGUUGCAAUCAAUGCUUCCGGCUCGAGCCACGUUACACAUUGGGGGAACCACUUUUUCCCUUGUACAAUAUGCCAGAAUUCAGUUGGUUAAAUAAAUAAAACAAAGUAGGUUCUCAGCUAGAGAUAACCGACACGGCGGCAGGAACAUCUCCAUCUUUUAGGGAGGAUCAUUUUUAAAUUAAAAAGAAAAAAAAGAAAAAAGAAAAUGUAGUUAUAACUAGGCUGUAUAAUAUUCAACGCUUUUAAUCACGUGUUAGUGGUGAUUUUUAGAGCAAAUAAUUCUAAACAAGCUAGGAAUAUGUAUAUCGCAGGGAAAUGAUAAAAGAUUUGAUUUUAUCAAAUCUCUAUUUUUAUCAUUUCCCUGCGAAUAAUAAUAGUAAUACUUUCUAUUAGAUAAAAUGUUAAAAUAUUCAUCGUUAGAAAAAAUAAUGAAAUAUACUUCUUAGCAGACGUAAUAAAAAAGUGAGGAACAUAGAAUCGAUCCACCCAUAACUUAUUUUUCUCAAGCUACUAAGCCCCGCUCGAGUGUCGGCAGAAUUUUCGACGGAAAUUUUGUACGCGGGCGAUAUUUUCUUCUAACGCGUAGAAAUAAUUUAACGACACGUCGUUAAGCUUUCGUUUCCGCCCGUCCCAUGGAACGAAGGGAGGCCGGGGUUGUCAUUAGCGGAACGCGAUAUUUUAAGCAGGCACUUUAAACCCGAGGGGAAAAACGCGAGAAAUUACAAAACGCGUGCGUGAAGUAACACGCCUCGACGCGAUGUUUUCAUUCUCCGAAACGAUGCACGAAGGAGCACGAGAAAUCGGCGUCAAGGGUACGAAAAAUUAAAAAAUAUAACUUUCUCUUUUCGAUGGGAAAACGGCACAUAUCGAAGACGCGAACGGUAUUCAGAAUUCAGUAAUUGAGAAACUCGCUCGUUUCCGCGAGCUUGUAUGUAUGUUUAUGUUGUUUUGAAUUUCAACUUUUCACGCGAAUGUUUCUUUCUGUUUUGAGCCGCAACGUCGUUAGCGAGCGCAAAAUAUAUUCAGCGUUUUCUCUG